rnacentral:rRNA from 1 species
UUUAUUGGAGAGUUUGAUCCUGGCUCAGGAUGAACGCUGGCGGCGUGCCUAAUACAUGCAAGUCGAGCGAAUGGAUUGAGAGCUUGCUCUCAAGAAGUUAGCGGCGGACGGGUGAGUAACACGUGGGUAACCUGCCCAUAAGACUGGGAUAACUCCGGGAAACCGGGGCUAAUACCGGAUAACAUUUUGAACCGCAUGGUUCGAAAUUGAAAGGCGGCUUCGGCUGUCACUUAUGGAUGGACCCGCGUCGCAUUAGCUAGUUGGUGAGGUAACGGCUCACCAAGGCAACGAUGCGUAGCCGACCUGAGAGGGUGAUCGGCCACACUGGGACUGAGACACGGCCCAGACUCCUACGGGAGGCAGCAGUAGGGAAUCUUCCGCAAUGGACGAAAGUCUGACGGAGCAACGCCGCGUGAGUGAUGAAGGCUUUCGGGUCGUAAAACUCUGUUGUUAGGGAAGAACAAGUGCUAGUUGAAUAAGCUGGCACCUUGACGGUACCUAACCAGAAAGCCACGGCUAACUACGUGCCAGCAGCCGCGGUAAUACGUAGGUGGC